UACGGAGGGUGCAAGCGUUAUCCGGAUUCACUGGGUUUAAAGGGUGCGUAGGUGGGCAGGUAAGUCAGUGGUGAAAUCCUGUAGCUUAACUACAGAACUGCCAUUGAUACUAUUUGUCUUGAAUACCCUGGAGGUGAGCGGAAUAUGUCAUGUAGCGGUGAAAUGCUUAGAUAUGACAUAGAACAUCUAUUGCGAAGGCAGCUCACUACGGGAAUAUUGACGCUGAGACACGAAAGCGUGGGUAGCAAACAGG
rnacentral:rRNA from 1 species